rnacentral:lncRNA from 1 species
ACAAAUUUGUUCAAGUUGUCCGCCGUAACCCCCCAAACUCACUCGUUCACCCCUGCUCCUCUUGGCCAUGUAUUGUAAAUAAAUGCAAUUUGCUACGCAAAAAAUAAAACUCAAGAAAAGACCUUUUGUGCUUGACUUCUGAAUCUGCCGCAGCUGAGCAAUUAUGUAAUUUUUAAUAGCCGCCAUCGGAGGCCAAAAGCGUGCUCACAAAACAUCGGCAACAAAAGUGCACGAAAUUAUGGUGGUUGGCGGAGUAUCCGAGUAUCCGACUUCAUCCGGCGUGACGCAUGACGCAUGCAUCGCUCCACGGAUUUGUCCGUACACUCACGUCCAUCGACUAACCCACUUCAGGACUUUUGCCGGCCACAUUUCACCCGCGGCCCACCCUACGUGUUAAUUGUGGCAACUGCUCUGCUGUGACUUCUGUCCAUUCGACUUGGCCACUUGUACGUGGGGCCAGCGGAAAAGCUGCAAAGAAAACUCGGAAAUAAAAUAUGACUG